rnacentral:rRNA from 1 species
AGAAUCAACGCUGGCGGCGUGCCUAACACAUGCAAGUCGCACGAGAAAGGGGAGCAAUCCCUGAGUAAAGUGGCGCACGGGUGAGUAACACGUGACUAACCUACCCUUGAGUGGGGGAUAACCUAGAGAAAUCUGGGCUAAUACCGCAUAAUACCUUCGGGUCAAAGGAGCAAUUCGCUUAAGGAGGGGGUCGCGGCCGAUUAGUUAGUUGGCGGGGUAAUGGCCCACCAAGACUAUGAUCGGUA